UCCACCCCAGUCCGACCCAGUUCAUUCCAGUUCGUCCCAGUUCAUUCCAGUUCAUCCCAGUUCGUCCCAGUUCUUCCCAGUUCUUCCCAGUUCAUCCCAGUUCUUCCCAGUUCAGCCCAGUUCGUCCCAGUUCAUCCCAGUUCGUCCCAGUUCGUCCCAGUUCAUCCCAGUCUAUCCCAGUUCAUCCCAGUCCAUCCCAGUUCAUCCCAGUUCAUCCCAGUCUAUCCCAGUUCAUCCCAGUUCGUCCCAGUUCAUCCCAGUUCCUUUCAGUUUCCUCCAGUUCCUCCUAGUUCUUCCCAGUUCCUCCCAGUUCCUACUGGAUGCUCCCGGUUCAUCCCAGUUCGCUCCAGUUCCUCCUGGAUCUUCCCAGUUCCUUCCAGAUCCUCCCAGUUCAUCCCAGUUUCUUCCAGUUCCAUCCAGUUCCUCCUGGAUCUUCCCAGUUCAUCCCAGUUCCCUCCAGAUCUUCCCUGUUCCUCCCAGUUCAUCCCAGUUCCUACUGGAUUCUCCCAGUUCCUCCCAGUCCAUCCCAGUUCCUCCCAGUUUAUCCCAGUUCAUCCCAGUCCAUCCCAGUUCAUCCCAGUUCAUUCCAGUUCCUCCCAGUUCCCUUCAGAUCCUCCCAGUUCCUUCCAAUUCCUUCCAGUUCCUCCUGGACCUUCCCAGUUCAUCCCAGUUCCCUCCAGAUCUUCCCAGUUCCUCCCAGUUCCUACUGGAUCCUCCCAGUUCCUCCCAGUUCAUCCCAGUUCUUCCUGGAUCCUUCCAGUUCCUCCCAGCUCUUCCCAGUUCCUUUCAGUUCCUUCUGAUUCCUCCUGGAUCUUUCCAGUUCCCCCCAGUCCAUCCCAGUUCAUCCCAGUUCCUCCUGGAUCUUUCCAGUUCCUUCCAGAUCCUCCCAGUUCAUCCCAGUUCAUCCCAGUUCCCUUCAGAUCCUCCCAGUUCCUUCCAAUUCCUUCCAGUUCCUCCUGGAUCUUCCCAGUUCAUCCCAGUUCCCUCCAGAUCUUCCCAGGUCCUCCCAGCUCUUCCCAGUUCAUCCCAGUUCCCCCCAGUUCACCCCAUUUCAUCCCAGUUCCCCCCAGUUCAGCCCUUCCUCCAUCCAUCCCUUCCCACCUCCCAGUUCUCCCGUUUCCCCCAUUUCCCCCCAUUUCCCCCCACCGCUGCCCUCCCAGUUCCUCCCAGUUCCUUCCAUUCCCUCCCAGUUCCUCCCAGUUCCUUCCAUUCCCUCCCAGUUGCUUCCAUUCCCUCCCAGUUCCUCCCAGUUCCUUCCAUUCCCUCCCAUUCCCUCCCAGUUCCCUCCCAGUCCCUUCCAGUGACCCCAGUUCCCUCCAGUUCCCUCCCAUUAAACCCAGUGUCCCUUCCCAGUUCACCCCCAGCCCCAUCCCUGCACCCCACCACUGCUCUCCCAGUGCUCCCAGUUCACCCCCAGUCCCUUCCCAGUCCCCUCCCAGUGUCCCCAGUUCACCCACGUCUCCCUCCCGGUGCCCUCCAGCGCCUCCCAGUGCCACCAGUAUGAUCCCAGUGUCCCCAGUUCACCUCCAGCUCUUCCCAGUACAUCCCAGUGCUCCCCAGUUCAAUCCCAGUUCCUCCCAGUUCCUCCCAGUGCCCCCCAGUGCUCCCCAGUUCAAUCCCAGUGCCAUCCCAGUGCCCCCCAGUACAUCCCAGUGCUCCCCAGUUCAAUCCCAAUACCUCCCAGUGCCCACCAGUGCCAUCCCAGUGCCAUCCCAGUACUCUACUAAUAACUCCCAGUCCCUCCCAGUUCAAUCCCAGUGCCCCCCAGUUCAAUCCCAGUACCUCCCAGUGCCCCCCAGUACCUCCCAGUGCUCCCCAGUUCAAUCCCAAUACCUCCCAGUACCAUCCCAGUGCCCGCCAAUGCCCCCCAGCCCCCUCCCAGUCCCUCCCAGUGCCUCCCAUUGCCUCCCAGUGGCUCCCAGUCCCUCCCAGUGCAAAACCAGUUCAUCCCAGCCCCCUCUAAGUGACUCCCAGCCCCCUCCCAUUGCCUCCCAUUGCCUCCCAGUGCCUCCCAGUCUCUCCCAGUACAAAACCAGUGGCUCCCAGUCCCUCCCAGUGCCCCCCAGCCCCCUCCCAUUGCCCCCCAUUGCCUCCCAUUGCCCCCCAGCCCCCUCCCAGUCCCUCCCAUUGCC
rnacentral:lncRNA from 1 species